GUGCUCACUUAGGCAGCACAUAUACUAAAAUUAGAAUGAUACAAAGAUUAGCAUGGCUCCUGUGCACGGAUGACAGGCGAAUUUGUGAAGCGUUCCGUAUUUUU
ensembl:snRNA U6 U6 spliceosomal RNA